GGGGAAUAUUGCACAAUGGGGGGAACCCUGAUGCAGCAACGCCGCGUGAAGGAUGAAGGUUUUCGGAUCGUAAACUUCUAUCAGUAGGGAAGAAAACAAUGACAGUACCUAACUAAGAAGCCCCGGCUAACUACGUGCCAGCAGCCGCGGUAAUACGUAGGGGGCAAGCGUUAUCCGGAUUUACUGGGUGUAAAGGGUGCGUAGGUGGCAUGGUAAGUUAGAUGUGAAAGCCCAAGGCUCAACCUUGGGAUUGCAUCUAAAACUGCCAAGCUAGAGUGCAGGAGAGGAAAGUGGAAUUCCUAGUGUAGCGGUGAAAUGCGUAGAUAUUAGGAGGAACACCAGUAGCGAAGGCGACUUUCUGGACUGUAACUGACACUGAGGCACGAAAGCGUGGGUAGCAAACA
rnacentral:rRNA from 2 species